rnacentral:rRNA from 1 species
AUGACCAAUCACUGCAUGGUGUGUUGGUGGAAAGAUUUUUUGGUGGGGGAUGGACUCGCGGCCUAUCAGCUUGUUGGUGGGGUAAUAGCCUACCAAGGCGACGACGGGUAGCCGGCCUGAGAGGGCGACCGGCCACACUGGGACUGAGACACGGCCCAGACUCCUACGGGAGGCAGCAGUGGGGAAUAUUGCACAAUGGGCGAAAGCCUGAUGCAGCGACGCCGCGUGAGGGAUGACGGCCUUCGGGUUGUAAACCUCUUUCACCAGGGACGAAGCUAACGUGACGGUACCUGGAGAAGAAGCACCGGCUAACUACGUGCCAGCAGCCGCGGUAAUACGUAGGGUGCGAGCGUUGUCCGGAAUUAUUGGGCGUAAAGAGCUUGUAGGCGGUUUGUCGCGUCUGCUGUGAAAGACCGGGGCUUAACUCCGGUUCUGCAGUGGGUACGGGCAGACUAGAGUAUGGUAGGGGAGACUGGAAUUCCUGGUGUAGCGGUGAAAUGCGCAGAUAUCAGGAGGAACACCGAUGGCGAAGGCAGGUCUCUGGGCCAUUACUGACGCUGAGAAGCGAAAGCAUGGGGAGCGAACAGGAUUAGAUACCCUGGUAGUCCAUGCCGUAAACGUUGGGCGCUAGGUGUGGGGCUCAUUCCACGAGUUCCGUGCCGCAGCUAACGCAUUAAGCGCCCCGCCUGGGGAGUACGGCCGCAAGGCUAAAACUCAAAGGAAUUGACGGGGGCCCGCACAAGCGGCGGAGCAUGCGGAUUAAUUCGAUGCAACGCGAAGAACCUUACCAAGGCUUGACAUACACCGGAAUCAUGCAGAGAUGUGUGCGUCUUCGGACUGGUGUACAGGUGGUGCAUGGUUGUCGUCAGCUCCUGUCGGGGAGAUGUUGGGUUAAGUCCCGCAACGAGGG